rnacentral:rRNA from 1 species
UCUGGAGACAGGUGCUGCAUGGCUGUCGUCAGCUCGUGUCGUGAGAUGUUGGGUUAAGUCCCGCAACGAGCGCAACCCUUGCCUUUAGUUGCCAGCAGUUCGGCUGGGCACUCUAAAGGGACUGCCGGUGUUAAACCGGAGGAAGGUGGGGAUGACGUCAAGUCCUCAUGGCCUUUAUGACCAGGGCUACACACGUACUACAAUGGCCGAUACGAAGGGCAGCGACACUGCGAGGUGAAGCCAAUCCCGUAAAAUCGGUCUCAGUCCGGAUUGGAGUCUGCAACUCGACUCCAUGAAGUUGGAAUCGCUAGUAAUCGUGGAUCAGCAUGCCACGGUGAAUACGUUCCCGGGCCUU